ensembl:miRNA gga-mir-1756b gga-mir-1756b
UGGGCCACAGUCACAGCUGGUGUAAAUCAGUGUGAGCUAAUGAAGUCAGUGGAGCUUCUCUGAUUUACACUAGCUGAGGUUAUGGCUCA